GGCCUGCUUGUCGUUGUACGGGUUGAAGUCGAUGUCGUGAAUGAUUACGGUGUCGGCGGCGGUGAGGUUGAUGCCGAGCCCGCCGGCGCGCGUCGACAGUAGGAACACGAAGAUGUCCUCGGCGUUGUAUUGAUCUAUUAGAUCUUGUCUGUG